AACGUAGAUCCACCAGGUGUUCGAUUCUGAUGAACAUCAAUAUUGUAGUUCGAAUCUUUAUAAACCCUAACACCAAAUCCAGUAGCACCAGAGGCGGUCAUGUGAGCCACCAAUUUCUGAUGAACAUCAGAUCUGAAAAAAAGGAUGAAGAUUUAGAUCAGUGGAACAAAACAGAAGAUAAAAAGAUUAGAUCAGAAGAAGAGGUGAUCGAAGAAGAUGAUAUCUCGCCGGAAAGGCUACCGGAAUCUUAACAGUUCGCCGGAAUUCAUUAGAGCAAAGCUCUGAUACCAUAAAGAGAAUAUAGGCUCAAGAAUCUCAAUCUCAUAUCAUAAGUGUUUUUUUUACAUGAAAGAACACUUGAUACCAUGUGGUGCUAUCUUUCUCACACAAUCCAAGGAAUAAGCUUCUCUAAACCGAAAAGUGAAGAUUCCGAAGAGGUGCGAUCAUUUUCCCGUUUGUGAAUAUUGUGCUAAUCAAGGGAAACUUGAAAUCAGGUUUUGGUCGAAUCAAAGAUGGAUGAAACAAAGUGGAAACCAAACAUCAACAGAAAAGAAGAUCACAAAGAUAUUUCAAAGAAAGAUGAUAUUAUUGAUGAUGUUGCAUCAGACCCAACAAAAAAGAGGAGUCAAGAAAGGAAUGUUAUAACGGCUAAAAGAGGUGUGCUAUCAUUGUAUUUAUAUGGUUAUUUUGACUGUGGUAUUUACUUUUUUUGUUGAUUAUAUUGCAUUUUCAAUCUCAUCGAGAACCAAAUAUGAAAAAGAUGACAAAGUUGAGGCGCUCAAGGUUUUAUCAAAGUCCCCUAAAGGUCUAGAAACAUCGUGCUCCAACAAAGGAAAGGGAUACAAGAUUGAUACAAUGAAAGUGCCCUUUCAAAAAAAAUAUGAAAGCAAAAACAAUGUUGAGGUUUACAAAAGGAAACGGUUUAGAGGGAUACAAAAAGAGGAGUUGAUCAUAAAUCAAAGAGAGGUCGUAAGAAAAAGAAAGAAAAAACGUGUGCCACUUAGCCACAUCAUGACUCUGAUGACGACUUCAUUGACCCACCUCCACGAAAUAAAGUCGAGCAUUCAACAUGCGAUAAUGUCCACGAAAUAAAGUCGAGUAUUCAACAUGCGAUAAUGUCCACGCACCAUACGUAGCCCUAUCGACCAAUAGAAUUAGGAUACGAAACAACCCAAUUCAUAUGGCGAGACUACUAGGGUGUCUUUCAGUAGAACAGCGGCUAUCGAUAGAGAAAAUAGGGUUUGGGGGGAUAUUGUGUAUGUAUAUAACAACGGUCCCAACAAUGCUAGGGUUGUGGUUGGUUUCUAAUUAUAACUAUCAUAGUAACACGUUAAAUGUCGGUACAUACACAAUUAAGAUAACCCGAAAUUGAUCAUGGAUGUACUAGGCAUACCAAUGGGUCCUGUAGAGGUAACCAAUGUUGAAAGACCAAGUAAUUCAUAUCCUAUUAUAGCUCAACGGAGGAAGCAUGUUAACUUUUUUUCUACAUUGCCAAUAGUUGGAAAGAUUGUUGAUUUCAUAGAAGCAUCAAAUGAUUGUGGAAGGAUGUUUAUACUAAGUUUUUUGGUGGUAUUUAAUACAAUAAUGGAGGAGACGAAAAAAUCUUCUACGUGUAAUAUGUCAUUCCUACCAUCAUUGACGAGCAAUGUGAGUAUAGAUCAUAUGAAUUGGUGCGGCUCCUGAAUUGUUUUAAUAAAACCAAGCGAAAAUGGAGCGGUACAACGGUCCACUAGUACUACUUGCGCUAAUAUACGCUUAUGAAAAAGGGAGACAAGUAAUGGAGGGGUUGGCAGCAACGAAACACUAUAAACGAGCCUACUUGACAAGUUAGAGAAUGAUUUAAUCAUCGAUGGAGACAGUUUCAUGCUUUUGUUAAUCGUGGGAGGUAAAAAAAAUGAAUCCAAGAUGGAUAUUAAAGUUAAAUCUAUCUCACCAAGGAAGAAGAGGCUGCGAGAAAAUGAUAGCAUGGCUACUAGAGUGUCUCCACGUACAAAAAAGGAAAAGUCUGAUGAUGUUGAUGCGAUAAACGUGUCACCAAAAACCCCGGUGGGAACAAAAGGUUGGGGAAAAUUUGAAAAUGACGAUGUAGAUAAGGUUGAUGGAGAUUAUGUGUAUAGCCUAAUGGAUCACGUUUCUGCAGCAGAAAUAGAUGCUAUGCCAACACAAAAAAUUAAUAAUUUCCUUGAAGGAAUUGCACCAUUUUUUACCUCACAAGGUAAGUUUCUUCAAGACAAAUAUCAAAAUUCGAAGGAGUAUCGAUAGUCGGGUUCGGAGUCUGAAUUAAAUGAAACAGUAACAAGGACUGAACAGGUACCGUUAAAUGUAACACUAUCUGCUAAGAAUUAUUCAGAUGAGUAUUAGUAACUAUAUUGGUUAAUAAUCUGAAUAAUCUUAGCGAGGAGUGGAAAGAAAUCAUUAAAAGUAAAGUCAAAUAACUGGUAAACUUCGUUGAGAAGGUGCACAAAUUAAUAAGUGAAGCAGAAAAGGCUUACCCAUAAUCUGCGGAUAUAAGGGAGGCAAUUGCAUCUUGGGAACCAAGCUUCAUGAGAGAAGUUGUGGAAGUGGAAGAAGUGUUUAAAUAUCAAAAUCAAAAGUACACGAGAGAGGUUCCAAAUGAUGUUGAUACUAAAACAGUUGUGAUCGAUGGAAAUAUGUUUUAACAACUAGAUAUAAAACUAAUUUGCAGUAUCAACAUCAUUCCAAACCAAUAUAUUAUAAUGAGACUUACCGAUCACAACUGUUUUAGUAUCAACAUCUUUCGGAACCCCUCUCGUGUACUUUUGAUUUUGAUAUUUAAACACUUCUUCCACUUCCACAACUUCUCUAAUGAAGCUUGAUUCCCAAGAUGCAAUUGCCUCCCUUAUAUCCGCAGAUUGUGGGUAAGCUUUUUCUGCUUCACUUAUUAAUUUUUGCACCUUCUUGACGAAGUUAUCCAGUUGUUCGACUUUACUUUCAAUUAUU
rnacentral:lncRNA from 1 species